GGACUGGAACUUGUGCAAUGCAGAAUUUGAUAUGUAUUGCACUUGUCCCGGCCUUU
rnacentral:pre_miRNA from 1 species